GACGAACGCUGGCGGCGUGCUUAACACAUGCAAGUCGAACGGAAAGGCCCUGCUUUUGUGGGGUGCUCGAGUGGCGAACGGGUGAGUAACACGUGAGUAACCUGCCCUUGACUUUGGGAUAACUUCAGGAAACUGGGGCUCAUACCGGAUAGGAGCUCCUGCUGCAUGGUGGGGGUUGGAAAGUUUCGGCGGUUGGGGAUGGACUCGCGGCUUAUGAGCUUGUUGGUGGGGUAGUGGCUUACCAAGGCUUUGACGGGUAGCCGGCCUGAGAGGGUGACCGGCCACAUUGGGACUGAGAGACGGCCCAGACUCCUACGGGAGGCAGCAGUGGGGAAUAUUGCACAACGGGCGGAAGCCUGAUGCAGCAACCCCGCGUGCGGGAUGACGGCCUUCGGGUUGUAAACCGCUUUCGCCUGUGACGAAGCGUGAGUGACGGUAAUGGGUAAAGAAGCACCGGCUAACUACGUG
rnacentral:rRNA from 1 species